rnacentral:rRNA from 1 species
UUGACCUCGGAUCAGGUAGGGAUACCCGCUGAACUUAAGCAUAUCAAUAAGCGGAGGAAAAGAAACCAACAGGGAUUGCCUCAGUAACGGCGAGUGAAGCGGCAAGAGCUCAAAUUUGAAAGCUGGCUCCUUCGGGGUCCGCAUUGUAAUUUGCAGAGGAUGCUUCGGGAGUGGCCCCCAUCUAAGUGCCCUGGAACGGGCCGUCAUAGAGGGUGAGAAUCCCGUCUGGGAUGGGGUGUCCACGCCCGUGUGAAGCUCCUUCGACGAGUCGAGUUGUUUGGGAAUGCAGCUCUAAAUGGGUGGUAAAUUUCAUCUAAAGCUAAAUACUGGCCGGAGACCGAUAGCGCACAAGUAGAGUGAUCGAAAGAUGAAAAGCACUUUGAAAAGAGAGUUAAACAGCACGUGAAAUUGUUGAAAGGGAAGCGCUUGCGACCAGACUCGCCCACGGGGUUCAGCCGGCAUUCGUGCCGGUGUACUUCCCCGCGGGCGGGCCAGCGUCGGUUUGGGCGGCCGGUCAAAGGCCCUCGGAAUGUAACGCCCCCCGGGGCGUCUUAUAGCCGAGGGUGCCAUGCGGCCAGCCCGGACCGAGGAACGCGCUUCGGCUCGGACGCUGGCAUAAUGGUCGUAAGCGACCCGUCUUGAAACACGGACCAAGGAGUCUAACAUCUACGCGAGUGUUCGGGUGUCAAACCCGUGCGCGCAGUGAAAGCGAACGGAGGUGGGAACCCCUCGGGGCGCACCAUCGACCGAUCCUGAUGUCUUCGGAUGGAUUUGAGUAAGAGCGUAGCUGUUGGGACCCGAAAGAUGGUGAACUAUGCCUGAAUAGGGCGAAGCCAGAGGAAACUCUGGUGGAGGCUCGCAGCGGUUC